UACGUAGGGGGCGAGCGUUGUCCGGAUUUAUUGAGCGUAAAGAGCUCGUAGGCGGCUUGGCAAGUCGGGUGUGAAACCUCCAGGCUCAACCUGGAGACGCCACUCGAUACUGCCAUGGCUAGAGUCCGGUAGGGGACCACGGAAUUCCUGGUGUAGCGGUGAAAUGCGCAGAUAUCAGGAGGAACACCGGUGGCGAAGGCGGUGGUCUGGGCCGGCACUGACGCUGAGGAGCGAAAGCGUGGGUAGCAAACAGG
rnacentral:rRNA from 1 species